UUUAGGCACUAGCAACUCGUGGGUGGACGGAACACUCACAACUUUCUGCACCCAUGCAUACCAUAGUCUGGUGAGCGGAGAAGACAAAACAAGAGGUACACACAUGGUAUCCUGGAAGACGGUGCACACCAAGGAGAAAAACAAAGCCAAGCAAAGAGAUGGUGCUUGGGAAGGGGUCUGCUGUAUCAGAGUUUAAAAGUCGUCAGAGGAGGCGUUAAUGAGAAGGCUGCAUUUGACCAGACUUGAAGGAGGAAAAACCUGUUCCGGAAGAGCAAGGAAAAGUGGCUUUUUCAACACCCAUUCGACUGCAGUACUACAGGAGAUGCUGCUGUGUUCGGUCCACACAACUGAAAGUCUUCGCUUCAGUACCACUUGCUGUCCCAGCUGCCAGCAGUACCGAGCACGAACAGCUCACAGCUGAGCCCCUCUCUGGGCCCUCCCUCAGAGCUGCCUUGCCAAAGGCUCCACUCCUCCCCAGAGGCAGCAAAUGUCUAAUGACUGCUCAACGAGGAAGUACAAAGGACAGCGCAGACUCAUUUCAGGACGGCUCUGAAGGGCCAGCCCAGGUCCAGAGCUCCCCGUAGGACUGGCUGAGGCCCCUGUUGCCACUGCAUCUCAGUUCAGCCUCUCCAUCUGCCCAUCCUGCUUCCUGCACUCCUUGUAGGCAUUGUUCCCAAGAACAAUUGGUAACAACAGUAAACCUCCAUGACGCGAAUAACAGGGGCUCAGAGUGUGUCCCCAAAGGAAGCUGACCAAAGACAGCACCAC